GGAGAGUGGGAAAUUUUUAUAUAUUUGGAAGUCUUUUCUGUGUGGAGUUUGCAUACUCUCCCAGUGUUUAGGUGGGCUCUCUCCAGCCCUGCAACAGACUGGUGACCUGUCCAGGGUGUAUCCUGCCUCUCGCUCCAUGGUAGCCCCCCCCCAGCGACCCUAACAAGGAGAAGCGGAAGAGAAUGGAUGUAUGGAUAUAUUUGGAGGGAGUGGGAAACUGACAGACUAGUCCGGUGUUGGCAGCAAUGUUCAGCACUGUUGUGAUGAAGAUAGAGCUAAACGGUUAAAGCAAAGCUGUGGAGUCACUGGUCAAUCUACCUUAAUACCCUCAUCUAUGGCCACGAGCUUUGGGUAAUGAUCCAUCAAAUGAGAUUGUGGAUACAAGCAGUGGAAAUGAACUUCUUCCACAGCACGUCUGGGCUCUUCCUUACAGAUAAGGUGAAGAGAUGCAGUAAGUCAUUCAGGUGGGGUUACAAGAGUGGGGCUACGAGCAGAGCUGGAACGAAAAGGAACCAGUUGAGGCGGAUUAGGCAUCUAAUUAGCUGCUGGUGCCCCUGUGACCUGGACCAGGAUAAGCAGUCUUCCAGCCAUGGUCGUGUACGCUUCACUGAAUUUCCAAGUGCCGGGAAAUGGCACCCCUCUUGCUAAUGAAUACGCCUUUUUGGCUACGUGUUGUGCUGGAAACUGACUGAAUGGUUAGAUGCAAAAGCCUCAGACAACAAACCUCUGAUACACACAUGCACGCCUUUACACAUAAAUGUGCACAGUUGGUAUCCUUUACGGAGGGAGAUCCUAACUAAUGAAGGCUCUUUCUUUUAAUGGCAAGUCAAUGAGGCGUCCGAGUCUCAGUCUGCAAGAGAUUCAUGAGUGUGAGUUUGUGUGUGUGUGUGUGUGUUCUUUCUGUCAAUGGGAGUAACAGAUAUUUGUAACAGAUAGUGCUGAGUUAAAGUGCUAUGAAUGAAUGUUUAUGGUGAUUAUCAUAGACCAUAGUAUCUUAUUGUCACAGUCCAGCUGUUGCGCUAACCAAGCAUCUCAGGUAAUAUUAGAUGCAAACAAUGGCAGUUUAUCAUAAAGCUAUUAACCACUACAUUAAAAACACC